ensembl:snRNA U2 U2 spliceosomal RNA
AUCGCUUCUCGGACUUUUGGCUAAGAUCAAGUGUAGUAUCUGUUCUUACCAGUUUAAAGGCUUUAGGCCUCAUCAGGAAGCUUUGAACUUUAUAUCAGCAUUGUAGCCAAAGUUGUUUCCAAAGGGUGGAACUCAGUGACUCUUU